rnacentral:rRNA from 1 species
GACGAACGCUGGCGGCGUGCUUAACACAUGCAAGUCGAACGGAAAGGCCCUGCUUUUGUGGGGUGCUCGAGUGGCGAGCGGGUGAGUAACACGUGAGUAACCUGCCCUUGACUUUGGGAUAACUUCAGGGAACUGGGGCUAAUACAGGCUAGGAGCUCCUGCUGCAUGGGGGGGGUUGGACAGUUUCGGCGGUUGGGGAUGGACUCGCGGCUUAUCAGCUUGUUGGUGGGGUAGUUGCUUACCAAGGCUUUGACGGAUAGCCGGCCUGAGAGGGUGACCAGCCACAAUGGGACUGAGGUAGGGACCAGCGUCCUACGGGAGGCAGCAGUGGGGAAUAUUGUCCAACGGGCGGAAGCGUGAUGCGGCAACGCCGCGUGCGGGAUGACGGCCUUCGGGUUGUAAACCGCUUUCGCCUGUGACGAAGCGUGAGUGACGGUAAUGGGUAAAGAAGCACCGGCUAACUACGUG